UAGGGAAUCUUCCACAAUGGGCGAAAGCCUGAUGGAGCAACGCCGCGUGUGUGAUGAAGGCUUUCGGGUCGUAAAGCACUGUUGUAUGGGAAGAACAGCUAGAAUAGGAAAUGGUUUUAGUUUGACGGUACCAUACCAGAAAGGGACGGCUAAAUACGUGACAG
rnacentral:rRNA from 1 species